ACUCCUACGGGAGGCAGCAGUGGGGAAUAUUGCACAAUGGGGGAAACCCUGAUGCAGCCAUGCCGCGUGUGUGAAGAAGGCCUUCGGGUUGUAAAGCACUUUCAGUAGGGAGGAAGGUAGUGUAGUUAACACCUGCAUUAUUUGACGUUACCUACAGAAGAAGCACCGGCUAACUCCGUGCCAGCAGCCGCGGUAAUACGGAGGGUGCGAGCGUUAAUCGGAAUUACUGGGCGUAAAGCGCAUGCAGGCGGCCUGUUAAGUCAGAUGUGAAAGCCCGGGGCUUAACCUCGGAAUUGCAUUUGAAACUGGCAGGCUAGAGUCUUGUAGAGGGGGGUAGAAUUUCAGGUGUAGCGGUGAAAUGCGUAGAGAUCUGAAGGAAUACCAGUGGCGAAGGCGGCCCCCUGGACAAAGACUGACGCUCAGAUGCGAAAAGCGUGGGGAGCAAAACAGGAUUAA
rnacentral:rRNA from 1 species